rnacentral:rRNA from 1 species
UCCUGACUGACCGAUAGUGAACCAGUACCGUGAGGGAAAGGCGAAAAGAACCCCGGCGAGGGGAGUGAAAAAGAACCUGAAACCGUGUACGUACAAGCAGUGGGAGCACGCUUAGGCGUGUGACUGCGUACCUUUUGUAUAAUGGGUCAGCGACUUAUAUUCUGUAGCAAGGUUAACCGAAUAGGGGAGCCGAAGGGAAACCGAGUCUUAACUGGGCGUUAAGUUGCAGGGUAUAGACCCGAAACCCGGUGAUCUAGCCAUGGGCAGGUUGAAGGUUGGGUAACACUAACUGGAGGACCGAACCGACUAAUGUUGAAAAAUUAGCGGAUGACUUGUGGCUGGGGGUGAAAGGCCAAUCAAACCGGGAGAUAGCUGGUUCUCCCCGAAAGCUAUUUAGGUAGCGCCUCGUGAAUUCAUCUCCGGGGGUAGAGCACUGUUUCGGCAAGGGGGUCAUCCCGACUUACCAACCCGAUGCAAACUGCGAAUACCGGAGAAUGUUAUCACGGGAGACACACGGCGGGUGCUAACGUCCGUCGUGAAGAGGGAAACAACCCAGACCGCCAGCUAAGGUCCCAAAGUCAUGGUUAAGUGGGAAACGAUGUGGGAAGGCCCAGACAGCCAGGAUGUUGGCUUAGAAGCAGCCAUCAUUUAAAGAAAGCGUAAUAGCUCACUGGUCGAGUCGGCCUGCGCGGAAGAUGUAACGGGGCUAAACCAUGCACCGAAGCUGCGGCAGCGAUGCUUAUGCGUUGUUGGGUAGGGGAGCGUUCUGUAAGCCUGCGAAGGUGUGCUGUGAGGCAUGCUGGAGGUAUCAGAAGUGCGAAUGCUGACAUAAGUAACGAUAAAGCGGGUGAAAAGCCCGCUCGCCGGAAGACCAAGGGUUCCUGU